rnacentral:rRNA from 1 species
GUUUGUGAUGAUGCAAUCUACCCGCGGCUAGACGGAAAGACCCCAUGAACCUUUACUGUAGCUUUGCAUUGGACUUUGAACCGAUCUGUGUAGGAUAGGUGGGAGGCUAUGAAACCGGAACGCUAGUUUCGGUGGAGCCGUCCUUGAAAUACCACCCUGGUUUGUUUGAGGUUCUAACCUUGGCCCGUGAUCCGGGUCGGGGACAGUGCAUGGUAGGCAGUUUGACUGGGGCGGUCUCCUCCCAAAGCGUAACGGAGGAGUACGAAGGUACGCUAGGUACGGUCGGAAAUCGUGCUGAUAGUGCAAUGGCAUAAGCGUGCUUAACUGCGAGACCGACAAGUCGAGCAGGUGCGAAAGCAGGUCAUAGUGAUCCGGUGGUUCUGUAUGGAAGGGCCAUCGCUCAACGGAUAAAAGGUACUCUGGGGAUAACAGGCUGAUACCGCCCAAGAGUUCAUAUCGACGGCGGUGUUUGGCACCUCGAUGUCGGCUCAUCUCAUCCUGGGGCUGUAGCCGGUCCCAAGGGUAUGGCUGUUCGCCAUUUAAAGAGGUACGUGAGCUGGGUUUAAAACGUCGUGAGACAGUUUGGUCCCUAUCUGCCGUGGGCGUUGGAUAUUUGAAGGGGGCUGCUCCUAGUACGAGAGGACCGGAGUGGACGAACCUCUGGUGUACCGGUUGUCACGCCAGUGGCAUCGCCGGGUAGCUAUGUUCGGAAGAGAUAACCGCUGAAAGCAUCUAAGCGGGAAACUCGCCUUAAGAUGAGAUAUCCCUGGAGGCUAGACCUCCUUGAAGGGUCGUUCGAGACCAGGACGUUGAUAGGUCAGGUGUGUAAGCGCAGUAAUGCGUUCAGCUAACUGAUACUAAUUGCCCGUAAGGCUUGAUCCUAUAACA